rnacentral:rRNA from 1 species
GGAUAGAGCCAGCGAAGUCGCCUGUAUUCAGCAAAGGGUCGUGGGCUUAAGUGCGGUUGGCAUGUUAAACAGGCGAGACUGUCUGUUUAUGCCUGUGGUAGAGGUGCAUUUGCGAGCGUUUGAGCUGAGACUUGCGGGGCAGUUGCUUAACAAGUGACAUAGAGGCUUCCCUCUGGGUUGUACCUUUGCGCGAUUAUGGUUGUUUGCCCUACUCGUAACGGGCUUGGCCUCUCGAGUCCAUGCGUUUGUUAUUUCGUCUUGGCCAUGUGAUCACAUGCGACGCUCCGCGCUGGGCGUCUCCGCUGCGUAUGGUUUCCCUAGUUCGCUCUCGGUGUAGAAGCUGGUCAGCUAUCCGACCCGUCUUGAAACACGGACCAAGGAGUUUAGCGUAUGCGCGAGUAUUGGGUGUUCAAACUCACAGGCACAAUGAAAGUGAAGACCCAGUCCUGGGCUUACAUGUGAAUGGUAGGACUUCGUUCGACCAUGCAACAUGGUCCCGUUCCAAUCGCUUGCAAUGGAGCGGAGACAGAGCGUAUGCGCUGAG